rnacentral:rRNA from 1 species
UACGGGGGGGGCAAGCGUUGUUCGGAAUUACUGGGCGUAAAGGGCUCGUAGGCGGCCAACUAAGUCAGACGUGAAAUCCCUCGGCUUAACCGGGGAACUGCGUCUGAUACUGGAUGGCUUGAGUUUGGGAGAGGGAUGCGGAAUUCCAGGUGUAGCGGUGAAAUGCGUAGAUAUCGAGAGGAACACCUGCGGCGAAGGCGGCAUCCUGGACCGGUAUUGACGCUGAGGCGCGAAAGCUAGGGGAGCAAACGGG